rnacentral:rRNA from 2 species
UACCAAGACGAUGACGCAUAACUGGUUUGAGAGGAUGAUCAGUCACACUGGAACUGAGACACGGUCCAGACUCCUACGGGAGGCAGCAGUGGGGAAUAUUGCACAAUGGACGAAAGUCUGAUGCAGCAACGCCGCGUGGAGGAUGACACAUUUCGGUGCGUAAACUCCUUUUAUAUAAGAAGAUAAUGACGGUAUUAUAUGAAUAAGCACCGGCUAACUCCGUGCCAGCAGCCGCGGUAAUACGGAGGGUGCAAGCGUUACUCGGAAUCACUGGGCGUAAAGAGCGUGUAGGCGGAUUGAUAAGUUUGAAGUGAAAUCCUAUAGCUUAACUAUAGAACUGCUUUGAAAACUGUUAAUCUAGAAUGUGGGAGAGGUAGAUGGAAUUUCUGGUGUAGGGGUAAAAUCCGUAGAGAUCAGAAGGAAUACCGAUUGCGAAGGCGAUCUACUGGAACAAUAUUGACGCUGAGACGCGAAAGCGUGGGGAGCAAACAGGAUUAGAUACCCUGGUAGUCCACGCCCUAAACGAUGUACACUAGUUGUUGUGAGGCUCGACCUUGCAGUAAUGCAGUUAACACAUUAAGUGUACCGCCUGGGGAGUACGGUCGCAAGAUUAAAACUCAAAGGAAUAGACGGGGACCCGCACAAGCGGUGGAGCAUGUGGUUUAAUUCGACGAUACACGAAGAACCUUACCUGGACUUGACAUAGUAAGAAUGAUUUAGAGAUAGAUUAGUGUCUGCUUGCAGAAACUUGCAUACAGGUGCUGCACGGCUGUCGUCAGCUCGUGUCGUGAGAUGUUGGGUUAAGUCCCGCAACGAGCGCAACCCUCGUCCUUAGUUGCUAACAGUUCGGCUGAGAACUCUAAGGAGACUGCCUACGCAAGUAGGAGGAAGGUGAGGAUGACGUCAAGUCAUCAUGGCCCUUACGUCCAGGGCUACACACGUGCUACAAUGGGGUAUACAAAGAGCAGCAAUACGGUGACGUGGAGCAAAUCUCAAAAAUGCCUCCCAGUUCGGAUUGUAGUCUGCAACUCGACUACAUGAAGUUGGAAUCGCUAGUAAUCGUAGAUCAGCUAUGCUACGGUGAAUACGUUCCCGGGUCUUGUAC